rnacentral:tRNA from 1 species
AAAAGUCUAGUAAUAUUCAAUUACGCUACCUUGUCAAGGCAGAAUUGCAGGUUAAAGCCCUACGUCUUUUA